rnacentral:rRNA from 1 species
CAGUCGAACGGGGAUGCAUUAAGAAGGAGUGCUUGCAUUCCGGAAGGAUGUCAUCUUAGUGGCGGACGGGUGAGUAACGCGUGGGUAACCUGCCCCAUACCGGGGGAUACCACCUGGAAACAGGUGCUAAUACCGCAUAAGCGCACGGGAGCGCAUGCUCCUGUGUGAAAAACUCCGGUGGUAUGGGAUGGACCCGCGUCUGAUUAGCCAGUUGGCAGGGUAACGGCCUACCAAAGCGACGAUCAGUAGCCGGCCUGAGAGGGUGGACGGCCACAUUGGGACUGAGACACGGCCCAAACUCCUACGGGAGGCAGCAGUGGGGAAUAUUGCACAAUGGGGGAAACCCUGAUGCAGCGACGCCGCGUGAGUGAAGAAGUAUUUCGGUAUGUAAAGCUCUAUCAGCAGGAACGAGACAAGACGGUACCUGACUAAGAAGCCCCGGCUAACUACGUGCCAGCAGCCGCGGUAAUACGUAGGGGGCAAGCGUUAUCCGGAAUCACUGGGUGUAAAGGGAGCGUAGACGGCUGAGCAAGCCUGAAGUGAAAGGCGGGGGCCCAACCCCUGGACUGCUUUGGGAACUGUACGGCUGGAGUGCAGGAGAGGUAAGUGGAAUUCCUAGUGUAGCGGUGAAAUGCGUAGAUAUUAGGAGGAACACCAGUGGCGAAGGCGGCUUACUGGACUGUAACUGACGUUGAGGCUCGAAAGCGUGGGGAGCAAACAGGAUUAGAUACCCUGGUAGUCCACGCCGUAAACGAUGAUUACUAGGUGUCGGGGGGCAGAGGCCCUUCGGUGCCGCAGCAAACGCAAUAAGUAAUCCACCUGGGGAGUACGUCCGCAAGGAUGAAACU